AAGGGCAACACUAUUCAUUAUGAGUUUAGAUUGUUACAUCAACAAUUUCAUUGGUUGAAAAUCUAUAUGAUUAAUCUGUUCUUUCUCUGGUAGUGAGGAUUUCUUGCUGUGUGUUUGAUGAAUUCUGUGUUUGCCUUGCAUUUUGAUAAUGUGUUUUUCUUGUUAGNUAUGCUAGCUUGAGAAGACNCCUUCUGGUUGAACCACAUGUUCCAAAGAAUGNGAGUAAUUNACNCAAUCUUGACAUUGACAAUCCACUUUCACUAAAUCCAGGUAAAUCUAAGUUUUUUGUACUGUAUUUCAGCACCUUACUUGGAGUUAAAUCUUUAACCUAAUUACAGAUCCAUGAUUCAGUCAGUCUAGUUUCCAGCAUGUUUGAUAUCUAUGCUGCCAAUGUACACUUUAUUGAUCCUUUUCUCAGCUGGCUAAACCAGAGCCUCAUAAUGUACUCUAUAUUCAGUCUAUUUUUUUUAAGGAUAAGUAAAUGAAUGAUUAUGUUGUUAUGGUGGAUUAUAUCCAUGUCGCCUGCUUAUUUUAUGCAAAUUCAAUUCGUGUAAAGAUUAAGAUGAGAAUUAGUGCAUAGUGGCAAUCAGUAACUGGUUAUGGUAAAUGGCAAUAAAAGAUUUAAAAGAAGAAAAUUGUCCUAUAUUGUGUCGAGGUGUUCAUGGAAUUCUGUCGUGUAAAAAGCUAAUGGUUACUCAUCUCUCACUUUUCAGUAUAAUAUAUACAAUCGAAUCUGAUAUGUAAAUUAGCCUUUAUAUGCAUAUAGUACAUGGAGUCGCUUUUUCCAUAAUGCAGAGCUGGAGAGAAUGGUUGAUCGGGAUUUAUCACGACUAUGCCCAGAACAUGGUAGUUAUUUUCAAGCACCAGGAUGCCAAAGCAUGUUGAGACGAAUUUUGUUGCUGUGGUGUCUCAGGCAUCCAGAAUAUGGAUAUAGACAAGGUAAAAUUAUCUGGGCCAGGCAAUGAAGCAAUGGUGUCUAACAAUUCAUCAACCAUUUUUAAUAUGCUUCUAAUUUUCUUGUGCUGUAUUUUUCUUCUAACUCCAAAUAAAUUUUUCUAGCUAAUAUUCCUUUAUUUUAUAUAUGCUUUAUAUAUGCUGUGAUGCUUGUCAAAGAGUUGACUUGCUUUUGAUGGUUUUCUUCCAAUACCUGACAAGGCAAUAUGCAGGAAAUUUAAAGGUGAGUAUAACCACUGAUCUUAAGCUCUAGUUUCUGCAUACAUGGUUUUGGAAUUUAUGAAGAUGCAAUGGUGUAUUGCAUUAAACUAUAACUUCAUACCUUGCCUCAAAAUAUAUUAUUUAUAACUUGUCUGGGAUUAAAUAGAGUUUGAAAGACACAGUAUGAGAAAAUUGAUUAGUGAUGAUAUCAAUGAAUGAUCAGUAUGAAAAUUGGGGAGCAUUGCUACUGUUUCGAAAGUAAGAGUUGAAGAAGAAAAUGUAAAGUAUGAGACGUCUCAUCCUUGAUCUCUUUGGUUGUCCUCAUAUUCAAGCCUUGCUCCUUUAGAAUGUAUUCUGGUGAGGGUUGAGUCUGGCCAAUGAGCUAUGGAACACCUUUUUGAUGCCUUAGCUUAAAUUACAAACACAGUCAUGAUUUUUUUUGGGUUAAUUUACUCCAGUGGGAUAUGCUACUUAUGAAGAUAAAUUACUUGGAUUAUUUUAUGCUACAAUUCAUUAAUUCCAGGCAAUAUUUUCAAGUGACAUAGGUAUACAACUUCUCCCAGGAUGAUUUUGCUUCAGGAUCAAAAUAAUAUGUUCUAAUAUUAUAAAAUAGAUAUCAAUAUGGUUAUUAAUAAAGUAACAAUCAUAUUUAUUUAUUUAUUUAUAUUUUAUACUCGUUAAAAUAUAUGUAAAUAUAAUAAAUUUAAUCAUAUAAUUUAUAGCUAUUUUUUAUUUAAUUUUUCUGCUCAUUGCUUCUUAUAAAAAAUGGAGUGUUGGUCAUUGUUUAAAUUUUACUGUACUUCUAUUAAAAUUAUGUCUUCCUUCCCUGGGAACAAUGAUAAUUACUUCAGAAUUUUCGAAUUGAAAUCUCAAGUCCAUGAUUACUUUUAUAUUAAUCUUUUUCUAUUUCUUUUAUAAUAAACUUCAGCAUUAAUUAUUAUCUGUUCUUUGACUUGUGUAGGUAUUGUGUAAUAUCCAACUGUUUGCUAAAGCUACGCCAUUUCUCUUUGCUCCAUACUAUCAAGAUUCUUUUAUAUGCUCUUCAGAUUCCUAUUGGAUAAAGACACUAGAAUCAAUUGAGCUUCUUUUAUGUAGAAACUUGGCUACAAUUUAGUAUUGUAUAGAUAGGUUAAUGUAGACUUAGUUGAGAUGAUUUGUGAGAAGAAAUAUGUAGACUUAGUUAAGAUGAUUUAAGAUAGACUUAAUUAGUAGUUUAGUUCAUCAGUAAUUUUUAUUGGAACUCUUGACUAAUAGUUGUUUAACUCUGAACUUGAUAAUAUAUCGGGUCUUUGUAGCAUUGUUAUUUUCAAAUUGAUGCCAAAACUAAAGUUGUAUGGCUCUCCUCUUGUAGCAUUGUUAUUUUCAAAUUUUGAGCUUGUUCACUGGGAUUCAUUUUUUGUGGCUUCUUUUUGUUUUUCAGUAAUUUGUGAAUGAAGUCAUGCAUGCUAAUCCUUCAAUUAUAUUUAUGGAUGAACCAACUAUAGAUGCAAGGGCAACUGUAGUUGUAAUGAGAGCACUGAAGAAUGUAGUUAGAACAGGAAGAACUGUCGCAUGCACAAUUCACCAGCCAAGUAUUGAUCUAUUUGAGCCAUUUGAUGAGGUAAACUCAAUCACUUAACGUAGAUUGUGGAUUUAUAAUGAGCCAAGAUGUUAUGACAGAUCCUUUGACCUUUUUAUCCAAUAUUGCUCUAUCUUUUUCAUCUUAAAAGUGGAAAUAAAGCAAGAAAAAUAGUAUUUAUAAUUCAUAUGCAUGUGAUCUUUACAUGAUAUUAAUUCAACUGAGUGCAGACAGAACAAAGAGUUGGUUGAGCAAUUAAGUACACCACCACUAGACUCUAGAGAUUUGUAUUUUCCAUCUCAUUUUCCACAAAAUGGUUUGGAACAGUUCAAAGCAUGUUUGUGGAAACAACAUUUGUCCUUUUGUUUCUCUUAGACCUCCCCUUGCACUCAGUGUUGGACCCAUUGCUAAAUUGUUCUAUGGUUGUCCUGAUAAUGCUUUUCAGGUGGCUUUGGAACAUCGUAUACCCUUCUCCAAAGAAUAGGUGCUAUAGUGGUAUGUCUUGGAUCAUUUUAAGCAAGUCACAUAAUUUUUCCUUUAAAAUGAGGAUCGUUUCCGUCUCUUAUGCAGCGUAACAACACAAAGCUAUUUGUUGUUGGCACCGGCGUUUCAUUGGUAACUUAACACAUUAUUUGUUUACAAAAUACCCUUUUAGCUUAUUAUAGCCUUUUGGUCUUGGAGUUAUGUUGAUCUUCAAAAUAUGUGGAAAACAAAAUUAAUUCAUGUUAGACUUCCUGCAGCGGUUUCAUUGUUUUGACAGUUGGAUUGAGCUUUUAGGUAUCACAGUUUAAGAUUUAAGUUAAUGGAGAAUUAUUAUAUAGAUUAGAAUUUCUCUUACUAUUUCUUCGUAUUUCACUCUGUUUCCUAGUCUGAUAUAAAUCUUUUGCUAAGUUCUUGUUUUGAGACUUGAUUAUGUAUUUAGCCAUAUAACAAUGAGUUACUUCACCUAAAAAACAUUAAAACGAACUAACAACUAAUUACAUAUAGCAAUAUGGUGUAACAUAGUUAGUAGAUAGCUUUCUUCUUUAACCAUAUGAGUAAGAGUUCAUCCUUGAUUAAAGUGUAUGGAAAAACAUGUGUAGAAAAGGUCAACUUCUUAAAUAGAUUUCAGUAUUCCAAGAAAUUAAUCUUUUGAAUCCCAAUUGUGAAAAAUUUGCUGGAAUGUACUCUCUCUGGGCUUAUUCUUUUGCACAAGUAUAGUUCUCUUCAAAACGUGAAUUCACCACUCCUUUUCAAAUAUUUUCAUUCAUUAACAAAAUAAAGUAACUCUUAUUAAUAUGAUUUCUUCGCUACAAUCUUUUCUUCAAUUCUUGACAAGAUAGAAGAAGCAUGCCGUUACAAGAGAUGUCUAGAGUUUUUAUUCUUGGACAAUCAAAUAAGUUUUCAAUUCCUGGGAUAACUUUGGUUGAAUUUCUCAAAUUGUUGAUCUCAUUCUAUUUCCCCCUUUCAAUUUUUGUUGGGAUGGCUUGCUUUCAAAAGUUCCUCAUGUGUUAGUCAUUCACGGAGAAAGUGAUGGUAGGGUGGAGUGCAUAAAGGUUUGUCUAAGAUCUAAUAUAUUUGGUUAGUUAUUUGCAAGAUUGAUUACGUAAAACUGGUUGAAAGAUAUUGACUUGCUAUGCUACUUCUCUGAUUGUUAGAGAAACAAACCUGCAAAGUGGAUUUUGCAUAAACUAACAUUGCCAAUUUCAUUUGGGACACACCAUUCACUUGUUAAAAGUUUUUAACAGGUUAUUAUGAAAACUUGUUGCUAGUCAAAGUUCUUAUACCACCCAUGAAGGUUAGUCUUUUACUGAUUUGUUUAAAACCUAUGAUUUGAAUCAUUAGGCUUGUUGUAUCACUUAUGUUAUUCGAAUCAUUUGAAAAGUUAAAAAUCAUGAGAUUUAAAUUUAUAACCUCUUUCAGUUGGUGUUUCAUUUAGUUUAUGAAAUAUUCAUAUGACAAAAUAAAAGAAUAUUUAUAAUGAUAUUGACUUUUUCAUUUUAAAGUUUUUCAAUGUUCAAACCAUUAAUUGUUAUAGCUAGAGUAUAAUACACUAGUGGAAAAAUAGGAUUCCAUGUAAUCUUGGUUCUUAUCUGGUGGCUAUUGUUCAAGUUGUAAUUAAUAUCAGGGAGGCAAUAUUCUGGUAGAUAAUAAAGGAUGCAAAAACUUGCAGACUUUGGGGUAUCCAAACAUGUCGUUGAGCUGGUAAUCUCAGUCUUAUUUGCUCUACUAUUAUUUAUAUUGCUUUACCUUUGUGAGGCUUCUUGUCUUUGAAAAUUUGUUUAAGCAGUGUUUUUUCUUAGAUUGUUAUUUUAGAAUUAUGAUUCUCGAUUUUGAUUGGAUGAACUGAACUUGUAAACUUUGUGUAAUCAAAGUUCUGUUUUAGAAUCCUAAUACCUGAAAGUGAGCCUUACUUAACAGCAUGUCUUGAGUAAAUUUAAUUCAAAAAGAGCAUUCUGACUUGUGUUUUGUAUGUACCUUAAUUUUCAUAUAUUCAGUUUUCCUUUAUUUUACCUUUUAUUUUUAAAAUUGAGAUCGUUACUACUUCUUGCAAUACACUAUAUUUUCUUAUUACCAUACAACAUUAGCAUAAAGAAAGAGUUGUCAAGCUGUCAAAUGUGGUUUUGAAUUGUGAUUUAGGAACAUGAACUGUCAUGGUUGUUUUUCUUUUUGGUCCUUUCAUUCAUGGUUAUUAAAAGUCUCUUUCAUUCAUAA